rnacentral:rRNA from 1 species
AUUGAACGCUGGCGGCAGGCCUAACACAUGCAAGUCGAACGAGUGGCGGACGGGUGAGUAAUGCCUGGGAAUCUGCCUGAUGGAGGGGGAUAACUACUGGAAACGGUAGCUAAUACCGCAUACCAUCGGAUGUGCCCAGGUGGGAUUAGGUAGUUGGUGGGGUAAAGGCUCACCAAGGCGACGAUCCCUAGCUGGUCUGAGAGGAUGACUAGCCACACGGGGACUGAGACACGGUCCAGACUCCUACGGGAGGCAGCAGUGGGGAAUAGUGCGCAAUGGGCGCAAGCCUGAUGCAGCCAUGCCGCGUGAAUGAAGAAGGCCUUCGGGUUGUAAAGUACUUUCGGCAGGGAGGCGUUACCGGCAGAAGAAGCACCGGCUAACUCCGUGCCAGCAGCCGCGGUAAUAC